GGCAAGAAAGGAAUAAGAUAUCCGUCACUUGUUUACAAAUAGGCCACACAUGUGUCAUAGUUUGUUUUUAUCGGUUCAAAUUUUGGAAUCAUACUCAAAAUUGGGAAUUUGAAAUUAAAAUUUUGGACAUUUCACCUUCUUUCGUAUAGUAAAUUGAAUCCUGGUGCAGUGAAGCUGUUCUAUAUAAUUUCUGACCAUAUAUUUUGUCUUGGACUUGUGCACUUUCUGAUUGUUCACACGCCUUUAAUAUGUUCUUUGACUUAGUUUCAAGGCUGGCCUGGAAAUAUGCUUGUUUUUUCGGUCUGCAAUUCCAUGUAAUAUUUGAUGCCCAGUAUGUGUUUGAUGAAAUGCGUGUUGUUGAUUCUAUUUUAUGAUGUUCUUUGAAAAGGAAGGACUUUAUCUACUGGGUUUUCUUAUCUCUUGUGACCUAAUACAUAUUCUAUUGCCAGGCCUCAUCAAGUUUAGACUUUCCUAAACCUGUAAUACAGAGAGUUUGGUUCCGUAAUGUUAUGUCUCUUUACUCAAUUAUGAGAACUUGUUUCUUGAGAUGCAAGAUGAUGUGUAUCAAAAGAGAAAAAAAGAAGAAGAUGGAUUUCAAAUUUUCAAUAGAUCUUUUAAUUACAUGCAAGUUUCUAAUAAUGGUCUUGUGUAUCCCUAUUCCUUAGGGAAGCUCUUACUUCUGGAAUGAUGAUCUUGGGAAGAGGAGACUCUGGAAAGCACUGAAACAAUAGUAUGCAGUGUAUUUGCCACCAUCCUUGACUUGAUUUGCCCCCUUCUUGGCAGAGGCCUUCUGCUCCUGAAGCUUCCACCAAUUGCUGCUGCAGCCGCACUUCUCAUCAUCUUAUCCAUGGGGAAUGCUAAAAACAAAAAUCUCUUUUGUGUCUUGUUUUUCUUUUUGUGGAUUAUAUUUUCUGAUUCACUUGCUUUAUCUGCUUGAAAGCACUCACGAGGAGUAUUUAUAGCUCAUCGUGGAUCUAUAGAAUACCAUGGUUGGUUAUGGGGAAGAAAGAUCUUGAAUCCGCCUUCUUUCCUUCUUCCACAUGUGGUGGAGGUUGGGAAGCAUGCCAGCCUGGGUUGUCUGUCAGUAAAAAGAUUCCAUUUUUCUUUUUGUUCGGGUAGAGACAAGACAACCAACGGAGUGGGUUUGAUUCGAGGAUAUUAUCUUGCAAUCCUUGCAGCAUGAUUGAUAUUAAACAAAUGUCUGGUCCAAUCCCACGUGCACUACUUGAAAGACCCUAACCAUACAAUCUAAUGUCUGGUAACAGAGCUGCGUGCAGGAAACAUGUUUUGGGGGAUCUCAAAUCGUUGUACGUUCUUCCCUGCAACCCAUAGCCAUCAUGUUCCCAUUGUACUCACAUAAUUUACGAGUUCUUUACAAUAUGAAUUGCAGUAUGAUUUACAUGGAUUCUUUGUAGGGUAUCAUGAUAUUAUUUCUUUAGCUUUUCGCCAUAUAGAGUUGUUUCUGUAUUAAGUUAUUCCUUAAAAAGUUGCUUUCUUUAUCAAUUUCUCCUUGCAUUUUAUUAAUUUAUCUGCCUGAGUUACCCAAAUGGACUGUUAUUUGGAAUGAGAGGAACACGAGAUCCUUUGAUAAAAAUGAAAGUACGUUGUUUAGAGUGAA